GGAGCUGCCCAGGGAAAAAAAGCACUCGCUUUUUUUAACAUCUAAUUGAGCUUUUGACUAAUUCCGUGCACCAGAUUCUCCUGAAGAAAGGUAGCCAUGGAAGAGAAUAUGGAAGAAGGACAGACACAAAAAGGUUCAGUAAAAGCAUGAUGAUGGGGGACAACAGAAUCCUCAGCCUUCAACAGUGAUUACUGGGAGUGCAUCCUGGCCCAGAGGCAUGGUUGCUAUGGGUGUUUUGAGUGCUGCAUUAAAUGCCUGGGAGGUAUUCCCUAUGCUUCUCUGAUUGCUACCAUCCUGCUGUAUGCAGGCGUUGCCCUGUUCUGUGGCUGUGGUCAUGAAGCCCUUUCUGGAACAGUCAACAUUCUGCAGACCUACUUUGAGAUGGCAAGAACUGCU
rnacentral:lncRNA from 1 species